rnacentral:lncRNA from 1 species
GAGGUUUUGAAACGGGGAGUGCUUUGGGCGGUGGAGAAGCGACAUUCGUCGCCGAUCAAACACCACUCGGAGGUUGCUGGUGCGGUGGGGAAAGGAGAUGGUAAAGGAGAAUUGAACGAUUCGUCAGUGGUGGUGUCUGAUACGGUUGGAUUAUUUAUGAUAGGUCGCCGAUUUCUCGAUUUAGGUCGGCCUGGAUCGAUCUCCACAAUCUUAGGACUAUCUUCAAAUCCGGCAAUCGCCGAAUCCAAAUGAGACGAGGCUGAGAGUCUCCGGCUGUGUAACGAACCGGUGUGUUCACUUCUACUCUCUUCAAACCUCUCCUGAAAUCAAUUUCUUUUAUAUAAGUUUGAAUUUCAAUAGAAUCAAUCAAUCAAGUAAAGACAUGUUGUUUUCGUUUACCAUUGAUGAUCUCGGUCGGAUUUCUGAAUAGUAUCUCGUCUGAUAUUUGACAGGAAUAGCAUCGGCACCAGCUGAUCUAUGUGCUCUCACGGUGUUCUGAGCUCUGAUCAGAGCUUGCAUACUGUGCAGAGUCGCUGCGGCUUGCUUUCUCACCAGAUAACCACGAAACAAAGCUUGUAACUUCAC